GUGAGAAUGUUGGCAUGAGUAGCGAGAUGUGGGUGAGAAUCCCACAGGCCGUAAACCCAAGGUUUCCAGGGGAAGGGUCGUCCGCCCUGGGUUAGUCGGGACCUAAGCUGAGGCCGAAAGGCGUAGGGGAUGGACAACAGGUUGAUAUUCCUGUACUACCGAUAACCGUUUGAGGGAAGGGAUGACACAGUAGGAUAAGCUAAG
rnacentral:rRNA from 1 species